ensembl:snRNA U6 U6 spliceosomal RNA
GUGCUCACUUCAGCAGCACAUAUACUAAAAUUGGAAUGACACAGAGACGAUUAGCAUGACCCGUGUACAAGGAUGACCCACAAAUUUAUGAAGCAGUCCAUAUUUUU